rnacentral:rRNA from 1 species
ACAAGCGGUGGAGCAUGUGGUUUAAUUCGAAGCAACGCGAAGAACCUUACCAGGUCUUGACAUCCCCUGACAACCAAGAGAGUUGGGCCGUUCCCCGUUCGGGGGACAGGGUGACAGGUGGUGCAUGGUUGUCGUCAGCUCGUGUCGUGAGAUGUUGGGUUAAGUCCCGCAACGAGCGCAACCCUUAUCCCUAGUUGCCAUCAGGUAAAGCUGGGAACUCUGGGGAGACUGCCGGUGAUAAACCGGAGGAAGGCGGGGAUGACGUCAAGUCCUCAUGGCCCUUACAUCCCGGGCUACACACGUGCUACAAUGGCAGGUACAGAGGGCUGCGAAGCCGCGAGGUGGAGCGAAUCCCAGAAAACCUGUCUCAGUCCGGAUUGAAGUCUGCAACUCGACUUCAUGAAGGCGGAAUCGCUAGUAACCGCGAAUCAGCAGGUCGCGGUGAAUACGUUCCCGGGCCUU